rnacentral:tRNA from 1 species
GAGGGUACAGCUCAGAGGUAGAGUGCGCACUUAGCAUGCACAAGGUCCUGGGUUCAAUCCCCAGUACCUGCA